rfam:Pongo abelii chromosome 19.
GUCUACAGCCAUACCACCCUGAACGCGCCCGAUCUCGUCUGAUCUCGGAAGCUAAGCAGGGUCGGGCCUGGUUAGUACUUGGAUGGGAGAAAAGACAAGACAAAAGAGGGUGUGAAAAUGGGGUUCUGGGUUCC